ACCCCAUAAAUGUUCCGUAAAUUCACUUUCAACUUAAUCAUUGAUUCCGAUUGUCCUUUGUAUUUAUAUGUAAAUGUUAUUCAAGCGUUCCAUAGUUUUUCCCACACGUUGAUCUUUGUAUUGAUAUGUAAAUGUUAUUCACGCGUUCCAUAGUUUUUCCCAAACGUUGAUCAUUGUAACAUAAUAACAUCUUCGAAUCAUGUUCAUAUAUAAAACAAACGUAAUUAUCAGUUCAUAUUCAUUGUUCUGUACACGAAACUGUU
rnacentral:lncRNA from 1 species